GACGAACGCUGGCGGCGUGCCUAAUACAUGCAAGUAGAACGCACAGUUUAUACCGUAGCUUGCUACACCAUAGACUGUGAGUUGCGAACGGGUGAGUAACGCGUAGGUAACCUGCCUGGUAGCGGGGGAUAACUAUUGGAAACGAUAGCUAAUACCGCAUAAUAUUGAUUAUUGCAUGAUAAUUAAUUGAAAGGUGCAAUUGCACCACUACCAGAUGGACCUGCGUUGUAUUAGCUAGUAGGUGAGGUAACGGCUCACCUAGGCGACGAUCCAUAGCCGACCUGAGAGGGUGAUCGGCCACACUGGGACUGAGACACGGCCCAGACUCCUACGGGAGGCAGCAGUAGGGAAUCUUCGGCAAUGGACGAAAGUCUGACCGAGAAACGCCGCGGGAGUGAAGAAGGUUUUCGGAUCGUAAAGCUCUGUUGUAAGAGAAGAACGGGUGUGAGAGUGGAAAGUUCACACUGUGACGGUAGCUUACCAGAAAGGGACGGCUAACUACGUG
rnacentral:rRNA from 1 species